rnacentral:sRNA from 1 species
ACUGGGCAUAGUAGCUCAUGCCUGUAAUCCCAGCUGCUUGGGAGACUGAGGCAGGAGGAUCUCAAGUUCAAAGCCAGCCUCAGCAAAAGCAAGGUGCUAAGUAACUCAGCGAGACCCUGUCUCUA